CCGAAGACACCCCACAGAAUCUGCUCUCUGCUGGGAACAAUAAAAGAGAAGCUGGGAAAGGAAGAAAAACACACACACACACACACACACUCACUCCCAAGUGGGGAAAGUUUUGCUGCCUGUGUUUUGUCAUGUCCACUUAGAAGUACCUGAAUCUUUUGAUUUUGAUGGGAUGGGGAGUUGGCUUACAGUUUUCCUCCCUUCGCCUUUAACCACUGUCGGGCCUUUUAUGUUCGUCCUUUGUGGGUCACUGUCAGUGAGGCUGGACGAUGGUGUGAGGGAAAUGUAAAUGUGCUUCUCCAAAGGCUAAGAGGGAAUAUUGAGUGGCUGGCUUACAGAAUUUGUAAAUCCUUAUUUAUUGGAGUUCAACCCAACUUCUGGAAAACAUGCUCAGGGCAGUAAUGAGGAGCAGGCGCCGCCUGUUUCUUGCCCCGCUCCACUUUCUCAACGCUGAUAUCCCGACCAAGUGCAAGUUAACAGUGCCAUCUACAGUAGAGAGGAAACACGUCCAUCAUGUGCCUUGAUGAUGUGAGAGGCUCUCAAGAAGCCCUGAUGAGAAUUCCACUAAUCAUCUGAGGAUUAGCAGGGACUCAGACAACACUACAUCUAAUUCCCCCUUCACCGCCACUAGGGCAACAAUAGGCCCCCCAACGCAGCACUGCAGCUCACCGACACUGAACCAGAUCACGCAUGGUGUAUUCGUAUAUGUCUCUAUUCCUGUUGGGCUCAGAUCUGUAAAUUGAUAUUCACUUGUUGAAUUGGACAUAACCGAUCAAUAUAUGUUAUCAGAAAAAUUGCUCCCAGUGCUGUAGAUAACCCUGCAUAGAAAAUAGAUGCAAUGUAUGUAAUAUUUUUACAAAUUAUUUUGCCUCGAUUGUGCUCGGUUGCGAAGUUUUGUCAAAGGGACGAAAUGCAGCUCUUUUUUUUUUCGUACAAAGAGCAAACAAUCUUUAAAAAAAGUA